AGUCCUGUGGAAAGCGGGGUAAAUGAACAAGGCCCUCCGACAAGGUAACCCACACCAGCCCCAUUGUGCAAUGUCCUGAACGUAAGUCCUUUUCAAUGGACAGAGGUAUUUUUUUUUUUUUUACAUUGUUGACUUUGACCCUGAAGCUUAGCAAAGAACACUUGUGCAACAUUUUCUGGAUCGAUUUAUCAUCUUUUCAGAGCAGACAUGCAUUUUUCUCAUCAUUAAGGGGAAACCAAACCCAUCUACCCUAAUCCUCCAUGCUGCUGUGUUUUUUCCCGGACCCUCGUGUUAUAGAUUCUAAAAUAUUAAUGAAGGGAUGUGAAUGUGAUGUGCUGUGUCCUCACACCCAGUCCCAGUGAGAGCAGAGCUCGGCCUAAGUGAGAAAUGUCCUCUUUUUGCAAAACAAAGUCAGGUUGCUGAACUCUGCUUCAGAAUCUUUCAAAGUGUUUGUUUAAAACUCAGUACAGUCCUGCACUGGACUUUACAUGCUACACUUUGAGGAGGAUGGGGCUUUGUAAUCUACAUUUUAAACCAUCUAGAUGACAUUCCAGUUUUUUGUCUACACGGCCAAAUUUUACCCUUCUGACUUUCCUGUCAAUACUAGGAAUGUUAAGCUGAAUUACUUACAGAACACUUACACUACUUCCACUCGAUUACUGUAAGGGGAAUACCUCUCAUUUGCAUAACAGCACUUUUUUUUUAAACUUUGCACUGUGUUUGCCUGGAGGAGCUAUGUUCCCUGCAUUUUGCAGAUAGAGUUGAGUCCCCCAAAGCUUAAUGACUUGUGUAAACCCCAGUAACUGUCCUCAGGAGGCAGGACUGGGUUGGGUACCCCAGCCUCAUUUCACUGUGCCCGCAGUGCUCCAGGAUCCAGGAAACAAGAGGAGGCUUUACUAAAGCGUCUCUUAGAGAUGGACCCGAGAUGAGACCGUGUCACCCACCCCCAGCCGCUCCGCGUGCGGCUGAGCGCGCUGCACAUUUGCUCCGGGAAGAUGAAAGCCCGGAUGGAGCCCUGGGCAGGCGGCAGAAAUGGGAAUCUUCAAAACAAAGACAAUCUCAUUCCUUUCUGCCCAUCCCCUUCAAUUUUCUGGUCUUUUCCCUCCACUCCCUCUUUCUUGUAAAGACUCAAACUCUGAAAUAAUUAUAUGAAAUUAAGUCGGUAAACGCCAGGCUCGCUUCCUCGAGAUUGAUGUGUUCACGUUUUGGGCAGUUUUCUCAGGACUCAGGGAGUCUAUUAUUUCUGAGCUUGGCUGCCAGAGUCUCCCUUCUCCCCGGGGAAGGGAAGAGUCUCCUCCUCCUCCAAAACCACAGUUUCUCUAUUCCAUGACACCUUCCCCAGGGCCCAGGAGAAAUCCAAAAAGUGGAUCUCUGUUUGUUUGUUUGCUUUUCUAAGUGCUCACGAAUUUUCUUCUGGUCACACCUACCCACAGUUGCAAAAAUGGAGAAACUCUCCCUGUGAGACUGAGUGUGAAAAGGACGUUUCCCUUGGCCACAGAGAUGGAAGGGUUUGCAGUCUGGAAGCCCAGGGGCGGGUGAGGGAAACAUUUGCCACCUGUCUGCUCUUAUCUAUAUAUCAGGAUGAGCAGGUCAGUGGAUUGCUAGUGAAGAGGAAUCUUUUCAUGCAAAUUAUAUUGCUCUUAAAAAUAAUGAAAAGUAACGGAGGUGUGACUUUGCUAUCACUUUCCAACUGUGUGCAGUUAGAUGCAUAAGAGAGAACUAGAAUUCUCUGCCCUGGAGAAUGGCUUGGGCGGCCUGUCCUGAAGCCAGGCUGAAUUCCCCAUGUCCCCUUGGAGCCUGCAGAGAGGCGAGCAGGGUCAGGUUCAGGAGGUGCCUGCCUGCCUUGACACAUCGUUCCUAAUUAUAACGCCUUUGUAAACCCUGGCCCUUCUGCCUCCCGGAGCUUGUAAAAGGUACCCACAAACCUGGGCCUUCCUGCGCCUCCCUGCCCCUAGGUAGAAAUCCUCUUCUUGCAGGAAGUGUAAAGUAAAGUUCAAAGCUUUCUUGGUCAAAAGAAAGUAUGCCUGAUCCAGUAUAACAUGAUUAGGUAACGAUUAGACCGAAAAAUGUUGGGUCCUCUGCAUCACUGACCAGCGCUGGCCCCUGUCACCCCUGCCUUUCUAAAAGAUAUUUAUCAUUUCCUCAUUCAGCAGGGAAAUGCAAACUCAAAUUGAGCACCAUCUAGGGUCAGUGCCACAGGCUGCUUCAGGCUGUCUGGGGAUAAAGAGUUCUAAAGAGUCUGUGAUGGCAUGGGAUGUCCCCUCCAAGGAAAGAAGUUCAGGGACAGAGCUUGAGGGAAAGAGGACAAAGGGGAAACCAGGGUCCACAGAGCCAAGAGCAGACCCCGGCGCUCUGGUGAUUUUCUGUAUGACUGCCAGACUUGUUUUCUUGCUAUAAAACAAGCCCAGUUCAACCCAUGUUAAAAGAAGGUUAAAGGGGACCAUAAAUCUUCCUGGGCAUUGAACAUCCAUGGACAACCCAGCCUGAUGUCUUUUACAUCUGUUUCAGGUUCUCAGCCUCAGCUGGCUCCACUGCCUUUUCUGCUGUGGUAACUCACAAACUCCAUUCAGCCAGCUGAGUGGCAGGUAUAGAGUGUCCCCUCUGAGCACUGGGGAAGAGGGGUGAGCGUCCGGGCAGCAGGCAGGCCCCCAAGGCUGGCCCACUGACACCGUAAGUCUAUACCCGGGCUGCUGGAGGGGAGGCUGCUGGACUGACGGUGUAAAUGGCCAGCACACACAGCCUGCAGAGGCUGGCGGCGGGUGGGAGAGCGCUGGCUGAGGUGGGUCACACGGAGAUUGAAUUUCAGCUGAAUUAGAUCAGAGCUGUGGGAAACAGCUCCUCCUUCACACACACAGCCGGUCUCAUAGGAAGAUGUGGGAGGGCGGCUAGGGAGACAGAGGUAAGCAGCUGCGCUGAAAUACCGAAGUCAGCUCACAGCAGCUAACAGCUAACUUAAUUACUGUCCACCUCUCCCCAGCGUGCCGGUCAGACUCCGUGGACUCCGGGGGUUUUAGACUGAAAGGCUCCAUGGUGUCAGGGAUAGAUGGGGCAGUCAGCAUUCAUAACGCACAGUCGGUUUGGGAGUGAGUCUGUGUGUGUCUAGAAAAGAGGAAAAGCAUGAUUAUGGAGGUAUGGGAAAGGCAUGGAGCUUUUAGAGGCACAGCUGCUGAAGGCAAACUCCAGAAGGGAUUUUGGUGGCUUUUCCUGGUACCUUUAGGGUUUGAUGUUUUAUAGCAUUUCAUUAACAUGCAACGUGAGCUCUCAAUACCAUAACUGUGUUCGCUGCUGCUGCUGCUAUGAAUGGACCCUCUAAUCCUCUUUCUUUGCUUAAUAACCUGCCACCAUUCCAGUGACCCAGAAUACCAGCUUUUCUUGGGGAAGCAUCAGAGGAGUGGAAAAUCGGGGGAAAGUUUUAGAAUUAAAACAGGAACACUUGCAGUCCUAUUAAAAAGGGCAAGAAGUCAGCUGCUUUGAAAUCCACCCCCUCAGCAGGGGUGGGGAGAGCCUUUCCAGGAGACAGUGGGAACACAUUUGUUCCCUAAGCUGGCACCAGAGCGGCUUUCUCCAGGGCAGCCAGGGCCUGGCAUUCUGUACACACUAUUUGAAUUGGGAGCCUUCACAUGAUUCUUUUUUCUUUUUUUGUCACUCAACAAAAGGCUGGCGGCAAAAAUUCCUACAGCAGCUUCCCCUGAACCAGGCAGAGAAUAACUCCCUUCCGGGGCUGCCCAGGCUCCUUAAUCUUCUGGUGUGCACAUCACUUUAGAGCCUGCUGCAGCCAAUGAGAAAAUGACCCCAGAUGAGAUUCUUCAUUUGUUGUAAUGCAGUGUGCUUUUGGCAGAAUGCUCCUUUUCUUGGACUGAGGUGCUUCUGGAGUUUUGCACCAUGUCUGGGCCUGAAGAAACUGGCCAAGGUGUCCCCAGUGGGAUGAAUGACCACCCGUCUCUAAAGAAGAGCUGUGCACAGAAUAGAGACAGACUGACAUGUGGGAUCUGAGCAGUGUUUGAAUUCUGAGGCAUUCACCAUGUUGUCGGGUUGUUGGGACACCAGAGACAGCAUCUUGACAAGCACUCAGGUGUGGUUUGGGAUUCCGAGAGACGGAGAGACUGAGGAAGAUGCCUACAAGUGUGCCUGGGAAGGUUGAAGGAAGUUUGUGAUUCAUGUGAAACAGAAUUCAGAUUUUACAUGCAGAAAAUCUGUGGCUUUCCUUCAGCCCCAGAAGGAGAUUUUCCAAAGCCCAAGACUCCCCCAGAUUUAAGAACCAUGGCUUUAUAUGAAAGAUUUUCCAAAGCUAAUUUUAGGGGGCCUCUGACUUCCUUCAGUCACAGUCUCCACAAAGUAAACUGCACUGUCUGCUGUGCCCCUGCCACAAUGGUCUGGCUGUUGACUCACGCAAAGCAGUAAAAACAAUACCCGGGAAAGCACAAACAAAAGCAGGCAGGGCAGGCCCACAGGGUGGCCCUUUGACGUGGUGGUGCUGGGGGUGGGGUGGCGUGGGGGUGACGCUUCUCCCCAGGAUAGCUCCGAGGCUGUGCUCCUGCAGGGCAUUACUAAUAAAGAGAGAAGAUGUAAAUGGGAACCCCAAGGAGCCCCUCAUUUGGUCCCGCCUUAGUAAACGUAUGGAAUAAGGAAGCUAGGCAGAUUCGAUAGUGUGAGAUUUGGGUCACUGUGUGGGAAGAGGGCAUGCCUUGUGUUCUAUGGCUGUGUCUGCCGGUUUAGGGGAGGGCUUGCUGGAGAGGUGCUGGUCAUGAUGCAUCUUGAAAAAAUAAUCAAGAUCCCAGAAUCUCACUGUUCUCCUUUCUGUAGCUGAUGUUUGGUUGCAAAUUAUGCAUAUGUUUUUGCCUGGAGAAAGUCCAACUUUGAUAAGUUAGUUGGUUUCCCAAAGCAGAGAAAUUGGGAAGAGCAAUUACAUUGAAGAGUAGAUGCUGUUGUUGUGGGAGUUACAUGAUCAGAGCCUUACGUACUUCAUCUCAAGUAAUCUUAAAACAACUGGUUGAGAUAGGCACCAAUUUCUCCCAUUUUUUCAAAUGAGGAAUUUCUGGUUUUAGAUAGUUAAGCUCCUUUUGUUGAGAUUUCUUCUCUAUCUAUUGCAGAGUACUAGCACUGAAACCUAGAUGAGUCUAUUUCUAAAGACUAUGCUUGUUAUUUUCCCCCAGACAGAUUUUCAGUGGGUAUGUCAAAACCCAAACAAAUAUUAAACCUGAUUUGUUUUCCAAGGUAGGAAAGCAAGGAAUAUAUUUUUGCUGAGUGACUACUAUAUCUGGAUAUUAUGCUGGGCACCACAGAUAUGCUAUUUUGUUAAAAUAAUAAAUUUAUAACAAUUCAACUUUUGUGGUAUAUACUCAAAUAUAUUAACCACUUAGUUACAUACAUGCAAAUUACCUUCAACUAGAAAAUGACAAACUACUCAGAACUUUCCUAGGAAAGAAAACAGAUUUUGCUUACCAUUGUACCCUCUUUCAUCAGUAAAAUGCCUGUGCUAGGUCAAUAAAUAAUUACUGGAUGAAAAAGCCAAGUAAAGGAUUGAGCCUAUGCUGAAAACAGUGAGCAGAAAGUUAUAUUCCUCAACAUGGGAGCACAGCACCCUGGCACCAACCAUCACGCUAUGAGUGUAGCUCAUUACAUACCGCUGUGAGGUCAUGAGCCAAGACAAAGAAAGGAAAGAGAAACUAAGAGGAGGAUUUGGAGAUUUCAUUUUCGAAACUUGAAAAGCUAUACUUUGUUUUUCUAAUGUUUAAUUGUUUCUAUUCAGAAAGGUGAAAUUAAAAGCUCUCAGUAGUUUGAAAUGUGUAUACUGAUGAACACAAUACCCACACUUUCAGAGACUGAGAGGAAGGCAGUGCUUUGCUAAGUUUUUUUCCUCACUUGGCACUGGGGUCUACAAGAUAUUCAAACAAAAUCUCUCCCCGCUUUCUCUCUCCAUGUGUAUUUGGUAAACAUUGAUGUGCCUGGGGUCUGUGGUAUUAGGAAGGUGACAUUUCUUUGUUUCCUGUUUGUUGUUGUUAAUACAAAUACAUGUUAAUCAAAACGUAAUGCUUUUGGUGAGCCGGAGAUUAAGAGAAUGCACAUUGUGAAGACAGCAAUCAUGGACUUCAACUGCAGUUUAAGAAAGGUUGUUCCUGUUCAGAAGUACCCUGAAGAAAAUGCAACCAUGUGAAUUUUCCAGACUUGAAAGUACUAUUAAAACCAUAGACAAGCAUCCCUCUCGAAGAAUGCAGGUAUCCAUAUGCUUAAAGACUAAAUGUUGGUACUGAUUCCAUCUUAAGGCUGGAAAGUGUCUGCUCCAGAGUUUAUAGAUGGUAAAGUUAUUUUUAAACAUUAGCUGCUGUCUGAUUUUUGCUCAGUCUGUCUACCAUGGUUUCCAGGCCCCUAGCACAGUGCUACAGAGUAAGGAGGAGGAGACUAUCAUCAGGCUCCCAGCAGAGCGCCUCACUGCCCGCUUGUCUCUCUGCCUGCUCCACCAGUUAUCAUUAGGAUCCCAAUUAGAAGGUUCCUAGGACACUCCCUCCCUUUCUGUCUUCAUCCCUUCCUCAUUAAUUCAUUUGUCCACUUAAUAGACAUGGAAGUGGCCUCACCUAUGGCAUCAUGGAAGCCCCCACCUGGCAGGAUGGAACACAAAAGUAAUUAGAGUGCAUUACCCUUUAGAGCCUCAGAGCUCUGCACAGGUGUCAGGAUAGAAAGUGGAGGAGCUCCCAGUGCUUGGCCUCGGGGCCAAGGAGAUUGUGCUAGAGGAAGUCAUCUGGGUGUGGCUGGAGGAUACAAGAAAAGUUUGCUAGGAAAGGAAGAAAUGAUAGGACUUUUCUGACCAGGGAAACACCAUGUGUACAGUCAUGGGGUUGGAGGUGGGAGGGUAGAGGGCCUGCAAGGAAAACUGUGACAAACAUAGAGAAGGGAAAUGGUCCUGUCUGGCCCGCAGGCUGUGUGUGGAGCCACGGCUGGGGAUGAGGCCAGAUACGAAUAGCAAUUGCUAGCAUUUCCUGAGCACCUGUGCAUUUUCCAGGCACGCUCUAUGUGUUGUGACUUAGCUGAUCAUUACAGUAGCCCCAUGGGGUGGUAUUAAUAUAACCUUUAUUUUACAGCUUCACAGGGAGGGUAAGUAUCAUGCUGCGAGCAUGAAGAAUGGAGAAGCCAAGAUUCAGCCCAGCCAGUUAGACUCCAGAGCCUGUGCUCCUAAUGCCACUCCGGAUGGCCCUGAUGGUCUUGAAUUUUCCUUGCCAAUUGAUAAAGUUGGCUCUUUCUAUCUUUUGGUCCAGGAAGAAAAAGCAUGGUGGAAACCAGACUGUGUUUUCUAUGCGGGCAGCAGGGAAGGCAUGGCCUUGUGGAUUGUGUCCCUCAACACUGAUAAGCUGUGACAUCAGGGGCCUGGGAGGACCUCCAGCUGUUCCACCUAUGCUGGAUCCUGGAGUGCACGAUAACAUUCAGGAAGUUGAAGGAGCCCAGAUAAUGAAUAACAAGCACAUGUAAUCUCUUUCACUGAGUUUCUUAAGUUGUCUGAGUACUCAUGCAUCUCCAACUUGGAGAAGACUUGUUUUCUUCAAUUUCUUCCUUCUAGCACAAAAAGUGUUGUUUAAUUACCCCAGUUGGCCUAGCUUCUCCAUAAAUGCCUUUUCCUUCUAGAGUCAAAAUCUUAAGAAAACCAGUCAGGACUGGAACAGAUGCACAAAACUUGUUUUCCAUGAAGUAAACACUUUUCUUUGGUUUCUUCUGGUGUUAAUAGUACAUGACACGUUUUAUUGCACUAUGAAUACAUGUAGUAGAUAACUCUGGGAGGAAAGGUAUUGUCAACCUCUCAGGUUACUGAAAUUUCUGGAGAGUGCAAAACCAGGCAGAAAAUGUCAGAAAAGAAAGCUCCUUUACAAAAGGACAAUUCAGGGCUGGUGUGUGUGUGUGUGUGUGUGUGUGUGUGUGUGUGUGUGUGUUUAUUCUGAGGAAUAUUUUCUUUUCUCUUUCAGAAAAGUCCAGAUUAGGAACUGUAUCUUUGCUUGACCACCUGCAAAUAGAUUUUAGAACAAUGUAAACCCCCCUCAGCAGGAUAUUGACUCUAAUGGAGCUGUGUUGACUAAGCAGAAUGGUGGCUUUUUUUUUUUAACUGGAGGAAUUCCAGAUCUUUCCUUAGUCCUGUCUCUCCAGGGAAAUGAGCUCUGUCCUCAAAAAUCCACUGAGAACCUGAGUAAGAAUGAAGAUUUAUGGUGGGAGGCACUGGGCGGAAGCAGGCUAUCUGUAGGCUAUCUAGAAGCUCAUCUCUGUGUUACUGGAGAAACUCUCUUGACAGGAUAUAGUCUGGUUAUCACACAAUCUUCUCAAGUUUCAUUCCCUUUCUGCUUACAAAUGCCCCAAAUAAAAAGAGAUGCAUUUCAUUAA